rnacentral:rRNA from 1 species
CCUACGGGCGGCAGCAGUGGGGAAUAUUGGACAAUGGGGGGAACCCUGAUCCAGCCAUGCCGCGUGUGUGAAGAAGGCCCUCGGGUUGUAAAGCACUUUCAGUGAGGAAGAACGCCUGGUGGUUAAUACCCAUCAGGAAAGACAUCACUCACAGAAGAAGCACCGGCUAACUCCGUGCCAGCAGCCGCGGUAAUACGGAGGGUGCGAGCGUUAAUCGGAAUUACUGGGCGUAAAGCGCGCGUAGGUGGCUUGAUAAGCCGGUUGUGAAAGCCCCGGGCUCAACCUGGGAACGGCAUCCGGAACUGUCAAGCUAGAGUGCAGGAGAGGAAGGUAGAAUUCCCGGUGUAGCGGUGAAAUGCGUAGAGAUCGGGAGGAAUACCAGUGGCGAAGGCGGCCUUCUAGACUGACACUGACACUGAGGUGCGAAAGCGUGGGUAGCAAACAGGAUUAGAUACCCCUGUAGUC